rnacentral:rRNA from 1 species
GACGAACGCUGGCGGCGUGCUUAACACAUGCAAGUCGAACGAUGAAGCCGGAGCUUGCUCUGGUGAAUUAGUGGCGAACGGGUGAGUAACACGUGAGUAACCUGCCCUUGACUCUGGGAUAACUGCGGGAAACUGUAGCUAAUACCGGAUACGACCCUCGGAGGCAUCUCCUGGGGGUGGAAAGAAUUUCGGCCAAGGAUGGACUCGCGGCCUAUCAGGUAGUUGGUGAGGUAACGGCUCACCAAGGCGACGACGGGUAGCCGGCCUGAGAGGGUGACCGGCCACACUGGGACUGAGACACGGCCCAGACUCCUACGGGAGGCAGCAGUGGGGAAUAUUGCACAAUGGGCGCAAGCCUGAUGCAGCAACGCCGCGUGAGGGAUGACGGCCUUCGGGUUGUAAACCUCUUUUAGCAGGGAAGAAGCGAAAGUGACGGUACCUGCAGAAAAAGCACCGGCUAACUACGUGCCAGCAGCCGCCGCAG